CGUGUUCAAACGAUGGACAAAUACAGAGGCUUGGAUGAGAGAUGACUGAAAGAAGAGAAGAUCCGUAAAUCAUAAAUAAGAGACGGUGACCUAAGAUGGCAGAACAACUAAUACAAAAACAUUAUAUGACACAGAUACCUGAUCAUCUAAGAACAACAUGUCGAUGCCCACAAGUUCACCAGCCUUCUUCACAUUUUUAGCUUCCCAAAAUCGGAGUAGGCGUGUGACAACGGUUUGAGUGCCACGUCCUGGCUUCAACUCAGAAAGAGAUAUUCAGGAAGCAGCCAUCUUUCUUGGACGAUUAUUUUUGUAAAUCGAGUGGAAAG
rnacentral:lncRNA from 1 species